GCACCUUAGAGACCAGCUAAAUUUGUUCUUGGUAUGAGCUUCCAUGUGCAUGCACACUUCUUCAGAUACCAAGAACAAGAUACUAAGAACAAACUUGGCUGGCCUCUGAGGUGC